GCCUGGUUGACUAGAGUUGCCAUCCAGCCAAGAAUCCUGGAUCCCCAAAGAAGAGUGAAAAGAGCCAGACAUCAUGUUUUAUCACAAUAGAGAGGGUUCUGAGGAUGGAACCAGGGUCUGUGUGAAGAAUGUAUCAUACACAUAACUCCAUGCCUGAAGGGCACCUCUUCCAGCACCCACUCACAGGUUUUCGCCUGUGCCUUCAGCUACACAUGGUUUCCCAGCUGCAGUGCAUAUACCUUUUUGGAGAGAUGCCACACUCCCACCUGGGAGGGGAAUACGAGUGGAUGAGGACAAGGAGGCUGAGGACAUGGUUCCCUGGCAACAGGGCCAGCCCAGCAGGAGGGGCAGGCUCCAGGGACGGGUCAGCUUUGGGGGAUCGUGCCAUCUGCGGUAUCAGCAUCUCUUAGAGGUUGUUGGAAAUGCAGAAUCUCAGGCUUCACCUCAGACUAACUGAAUCAUAAUCUGCCACUUGACAAGACCUGGGAGAUUUGUGUGCCUGCUAAUAUUUGAGAAGCAUUUUCUCUGGAAGACAAGAACUUUAUUUUGUAUUUCACUUAUAUUUGCAUUUCCUUGUAAUUAAAUGGAACCAUGGUGGCCAUGAAGUAGAUUUAACAUAUUCUUAUUGAACUUAGUUGAUGUGGUCCUCAAUGGCCAACCAUUCUUCCAAAGGAGAAUAUGCCCUAACCAUUUUAUAUAAUUCAAACAACCACCUAGGGAGACAUGCAAAACACUUUUUCAUUCGCAUUUUACAAAUAAAGAAAUGGAGACUCAGAGGGCUUCA
rnacentral:lncRNA from 1 species